UGGGGAAUUUUGGACAAUGGGCGAAAGCCUGAUCCAGCAAUGCCGCGUGUGUGAAGAAGGCCUUCGGGUUGUAAAGCACUUUUGUCCGGAAAGAAAUCCUUGGCUCUAAUACAGUCGGGGGAUGACGGUACCGGAAGAAUAAGCACCGGCUAACUACGUGCCAGCAGCCGCGGUAAUACGUAGGGUGCAAGCGUUAAUCGGAAUUACUGGGCGUAAAGCGUGCGCAGGCGGUUUGCUAAGACCGAUGUGAAAUCCCCGGGCUCAACCUGGGAACUGCAUUGGUGACUGGCAGGCUAGAGUAUGGCAGAGGGGGGUAGAAUUCCACGUGUAGCAGUGAAAUGCGUAGAGAUGUGGAGGAAUACCGAUGGCGAAGGCAGCCCCCUGGCCAAGUACUGACGCUCAUGCACGAAAGCGUGGGGAGCAAACAGGAUUAGAUACCCUGGUAGUCCACGCCCUAAACGAUGUCAACUAGUUGUUGGGGAUUCAUUUCCUUAGUAACGUAGCUAACGCGUGAAGUUGACCGCCUGGGGAGUACGGUCGCAAGAUUAAAACUUAAAUGAAUUGAC
rnacentral:rRNA from 1 species